UAGGGAAUCUUCGGCAAUGGGGGCAACCCUGACCGAGCAACGCCGCGUGAGUGAAGAAGGUUUUCGGAUCGUACAGCUCUGUUGUAAGAGAAGAACGUGUGUGAGAGUGGAAAGUUCAUACAGUGACGGUAACUUACCAGAAAGGGACGGCUAACUACGUGCCAGCAGCCGCGGUAAUACGUAGGUCCCGAGCGUUGUCCGGAUUUAUUGGGCGUAAAGCGAGCGCAGGCGGUUUAAUAAGUCUGAAGUUAAAGGCAGUGGCUUAACCAUUGUUCGCUUUGGAAACUGUUGAACUUGAGUGCAGAAGGGGAGAGUGGAAUUCCAUGUGUAGCGGUGAAAUGCGUAGAUAUAUGGAGGAACACCGGUGGCGAAAGCGGCUCUCUGGUCUGUAACUGACGCUGAGGCUCGAAAGCGUGGGGAGCAAACAGG
rnacentral:rRNA from 1 species